ACACUGCUGAGGAGUCUCAUAAUAGAACGAAACGGCCGUUCAGUAC
rnacentral:hammerhead_ribozyme from 1 species